GAAGAAUACUCCACAGUCUGGCUCUUGGUUUAGGACUUAAGCCUUCCACUGAGUCUUCCUCUUCACUGCUCCUCCAAGGCGAUGGCUGAGUUCCACCACCAUUACCACUCACAAGCUGUUAUGAUGCUCGUUCUGCCAAAGACACUGAGCUCUGUGAGUCCAUUUUCCCGUCACUUCCCAGACCCGAGAAGGGCAUCACCAGAGACCCGCUGUGAUGAGUGAUUAUUUAAAGAAAUGAAAAAGGCACUGUCAGCAGUAGUGGGAUAAGCCAUCUGUGGUUCAUGCAAGAGAAAUCUACAGCACAGAUUCUGAGAUCUAAGCAGAAAUAUUUGAAACAAUUCAUACCUAUA
ensembl:lncRNA